GAGAGUCCAGAGGAGGCCCCGGAGCUGCUCCAGGACUGGAUCCCUCUGCUCUGGAGCCAGGCUGGGAGAGCUGGGGGGGUUCCCCUGGAGAAGAGAAGGCUCCAGGGAGACCUGAGAGCCCCUUGCAGGGCCUGAAGGGGCUCCAGGAGAGCUGGAGAGGGACUGGGGACAAGGCAUGGAGGGACAGGACACAGGGAAUGGCUUCCCACUGCCAGAGGGCAGGGAGAGAUGGGAUGUUGGAAUUGCUGGCUGGGAGGGUGGGGAGGCCCUGGCACACGUUGGGCAGAGAAGCUGUGGCUGCCCCUGGAUCCCUGGAAUUGUCCCAGGCCACGUUGGAGCACCCUGGGCUGGUGGACCAACCAUGGCACGGGUGGGACUGGAUGGGCUUUAAGGUCCCUUCCAACCCCCCUGCCAUGGGCAGAGACACCUUCCACUAGGCCAGGUUACAUAGUGGUUACAGCAGAGAGAACUUUACAGUUGUUGUAAAACUGUUUGAAAUUUUCUGUAAAUAGUUUUAUGUGCUACUUAUAAAUAUACUUACAGUUUAUUACAGUUAUCUACUGAUAUUUUGACAAACAGCUGCUUUCCUUGUGGAAAUGAGUGAGAUAUUAUGAAACAUUUCUCGCUCAGCCAGUCUUAUUACUCACUGAAAUUAAUUUUCUUACUUCUUAACCCUCCCUGUGCUGCUUGUGCAGUUGCCACUUGGGUCAGCUGGGGGCUGGAGAACUAAUUCACUGUGUUUGCAAUUCCUAUUGUUUUCUUCAGCACACCAGACCAUAAUGACCACUGACUAAGUGGUGGUGUAAGGAACAAAAGAACUUCUUAGUGUUUAUUAAUAUCUCCAGUUCAAAUCAGAACAAUUCUUUUAGUUUUUGGCACCCCGUUAAAAACGGAAACCUCUGGACUUAGAGAUUUGGGACUGCAGCUGAGUUUUGGAAGUCUAGGCUUGGGAAGGAAGGGCUGAAUUUGUUUUAGGGGCACAGGGUCUUUACAGAGUGUGCAGAAAUAUUUUGGCAGUAAUGGGGUGGGUAAAAAAAGGCAGCAGAGCAUGUUCAGUAGGGAAAUGGCCAGCACCUGUAAACCAAAGCUACCUAAACCCCAAGUCCAGGAUAGAAAGUGCCUUCUUCUACCUCCUAUUAUCACACUGGGUUCCCAUCUCUCUGCUGGAGGAGCUGUGACUGCUGCCAGCAUCUUUCCAGAGGGAUGUUACCCACAUAUUUACUCUCCUUGCUUAAUGGGAGUUGGGAAAAAAUUGAGACAAAAUUGUUUCGGACAAAGUUAUUUAAGUCCUUAAGUUCCCAGGAAGAAGGGGUAUUAUUCUAAUUUAAAAAGGAUGAAAUAAGUAAGAACAGAGCUUUAAAAUAAAUCUGUAGCAUGAUAGGUUUCCAUCUGAGGUUUGUUUUGUGCUUGGAGCUUGUAUCUGGAGAACUUUACCUGUUUUUCACUUUAGGAGCUCGAGUCUUCAUUGGAGAGCACCAGCUGGCUCAUGCUUGUUGUGUUUUUUAUUUUCUAGAAGAAAUCUAGGCAGAACAAGGUUUUGUGUUUUGGAGUGCUGAGAGGCCUCAAAAUCUGAAAGCAAAGAUUUACCAUUUAAUUUUUCUUUUUUUUUGAAGAAUGCUUCUGUCCAAGUGUUACUGUAAUUCACUGCAGGUUUGAAAGGAAUGCUGCCCAGGAUUCCUGGCUGGUGCUGAUUGUUACUGUGCACUUACCCUAUGGAUCUGAGCUUGUACUUUGAAGGUGCUGCCUCGAUCCAGUGGCUGAGCUGUGAUUUUAUCCCCCUGUUGGGGGAGCUAAAUGAGGUGUGAGCUGGGCUGUGACAGCCCUCCAUCUGCCCCCUGUGCUGUAAGUAAUCCUGCCCCUCUCCCUGAGCAAUUCAACUUGUUUGCUGUUGUUUUUUCUUGCAGUGUUGCCCCGUGGGGACUGUCCCUUCAGGGAGCUCUGGGAGCCACCCAAAGGGGUGGAUGGAGCUGAGCCAGAGUUACAGCAGCUCUGCUUUGGACUAUUCAGAAGAUACCUUUGAGUCCUUCAGCGAGGAGGAGAUCAAACCAUCUGGCUCCUGCUGUCCCCCAGAGGAUUGGGAGGGCUCAGAUGUGUUGGAAAGCACGUCAUGCUUGGCAGGCCAAGGUCAUGCAGAGGAGCAAUCUGAAGGAGUGGAUUCUGCAGCUCUGGAAAGAGUUGCCAUAGGAAAAUGGAUGGAUGCCAUGGGAAGUUGGAGAGAUCUAAAAAUUAAAGAAGCUGAGGUUAAGCAAGACAACUCUGUCAUCAAAACUCAUGCUGAAAUUCCUGAGUUAUUUGGUGGAGAACUGGAUGCUCUCAGGUCCUUUUGCACCAGGAAGAUAAAUGGGAUGAAGCAGCAGCUGAGCUCUGAGCAGCCAAACAUGGGCAAGGCAAGGAAGCUGCAGGAUGGAGUCCCAGCAGGGAAAACUGGGACCAGAGCUGCGAACUGCAUCGUUCCUGCUCGGCUGAUGAACAGAAUCCUCCUGGAAAACACCAGAGAGACUGUUAAACAGGUGACAGAAGCUCAAAUCCACGAGGCUUCUUCAUGCCCUGACUGCCAGAAGAAGGAGGCAGAGCUGGCCAGGAUUGCCUUUGUCAGGCAAAAAAAGACUCUGAUGGAAAGUGCUUUAAUCCAAGAGAAACUGGAAGAACAGAUUUACUCCAGAGACGUGCUCACACUUCUAGGAGAAGCCCUCAGAAGCUUUCCCAAACCUUCAGAGGAUCCCAGGGCCUUGUGGCAAAGGCUGGAAGGUCAGAAAAUAGGAAGGAGUGAGUCUGGUGAUGUGUGGAAUCUUCAGCCUCAUCAGAAGGAUGAAGGCCAAGAAUCCCAUGAGCUCCUGCACUUUCCUUGUCCGUGAGAAGCUGAUUUCCCAUCCCUGACCUUUGGGGAGCUCAGACUCCCUUUGGUUUCCUGAUGCUGGAGAUCAAGGCUGGUUGAGAAGGACCAUCGAGGUUGAUAAACCAGCAGCAAGUGACAAAAAGGGAGAGAAAAAGGCUGCAAGUUUUGGAAGCACUUGUGAGAACUCAUCCCAGCACUGGCCACGGCCAGGAGCCAACAGAAAGUCCAGUUCCUAUGACAGGAACAAUUUCUGGGGGGAUCCUGAUUUUCCUUGAAGCUGCUCUGGGUUCGGAGAACUCUGAGGGGUUAUUGGUGUGUGAGAAAACUGAGUAAUUGUAGAGCAGAACCUGAUCCUACCUUCCUUCUGCCUGCAAAGAUGCUGAGCAAAACAGCUCCCAGGAUUCAGGGGGAAGUUUCAGGAUGUGCCCCUGCUCAGGAAUGUGCUUUUGGCUUCCAGAAGAUCUCCUGUGGGGGAGUCUGUGGGCCAGAAACAAGAGGGACUGUGUUCCUGGGCAUUAACUUUACAGAGGACCCACAUGGAGCUAAUUCUGCUUUUAAGGUUUUAAUUUUAAUUCAUUAAUCCUUGAAGCAUAAAUUCAUUGAAGCAACAGUGAAUGUGUUUAGAUCUGGGCUCUCUCUGAAGCUGAUAUUCAUCCCACUGGUUUUAUUGGUGACUUGUGGUAGUAUGACAUGUUAAUUUAGUGUAACUGUGAUUGAUUAACAGAGCAGCUUUUUUGAGGUGUGAUUACAGCCUGCUUGUGACUGCAUGUUUUGGCAGAUCUUUGGGCUGUACAAAGCCCAAAUCCUUGUGGAAGUUGCUGCUGCCUUUUAGCAGGAACAAACUGCACACCCGUCGUAGACAGCACACCUGAUGAAUUCCCUCCCUGACCCAGUGUCACUGAAAGGCACCUGGGAUCCAGGUUUUCAUACAGUGAAAUUACAUUAUCCUGAAAGUUUCUUCUCCUGAGCAGUGAAAUCCUUGGCUGACAUUUUUAGGGUGGCUUUUGUUCCAUGCUCCCCACAGGUGUGUGGGCUCAGCCACGCACGGGAACAUGUGAGGAAGAGGCACUGAGGCUCGUUCCUGUCACAGCCUUACAUUGAGGAAAUGUUUCCUUUGAAACUUGGAAAACAGUGCUGGGUCAAAGUGUUGCUCUCUGAGAAGCUGAGCAGAUCUGUUCCUUCAUGUUGUUCACUCAGAAACGGGCUUCACUGCCUUUUAAAAACUCGGGUGAGAUUGUUUUCCUCAAAGCAGCACCACCAUUCCUCCCUUUGGAGGGAGGAUUUUCCUGAUAAGCCCUUCCUGCUCGAGGAACAGGCUUAGAUCAUCAACUAAAAAAUGUACCCUGUGAAAUGGGGAUUCUUCUUCCAUUUGAAAAGGGUCUUUUUCCUGAUUUAGUUCAUACUCUUUUCUUUUUUUAUGCUGUUCUUCUCAUACACCUUCCAAAAUCAGGGGCAGUUGCAUCCUGUGAUCACAGAGAGGCAACCUGGGAAUUUUUUGGUGUGUAUUUGAAAUGUUAUUCUGUGUAAAUACAAGCCCUGGAGUGAGCAGUUCCCAAGCCUACACUGAGCUUAAACCUGCUCAGUGAUUUUUCCCUAUUUGCCUGUUUUUUAAGCUCAAUUUGCCUCAAUUCUCUGGUUUGUUUUUUAGAGCCACAACAAGGAUUUACCAGUGCAGGUACAGGUGGAUGUUUAAUUGUUCCCUUGGAGUUAGAGGGUAAAUGAAAACUGAAAGCUGUUUAGAGCUGAAUUCAAAUGAACAAACCCAAAACCUAAAAAUCCCCCUAAAAUGCAAUCAAUGGCCUUUUUAUUUUCAUCUUCUGUGCAGGUGAAGGAGGGUUGAAAUGCUGAGCUUAUUGUGAUAGGGAUGAACAGAUUAGAUCUGGUUUUGUGUCCCCCCUCCCUAUUUAAUCCCUCCUCUCUCUCUUUCUCUUUCCCUACCACAAGCAAGGAAAGCAGUUAUGGAUGGGAGGCUCUGCAGCCUUUCUCUUGGACCUAAAAUCUGCCAAGAUUGAAACUCCUGCAGGAAUAACAUUUUAUUUUUUUUUAAUGUGCCAAAGACCAAAAGAUUGUUUGAACAUUCAAGUUUUUCAUCCAACUCAUUUAAAAAGGAAACUCUUCUCCUUGCAGCCACUGUGGCUGUUCCUGAUGAACAGGCACAGUCUAGAACUGCCUCAUAUUCAGUACUCAGGGAUUUUCACCUUUCAAAUUAUGCAAGGAAAAUAAUAAGUGAAAGGGUGGGAGGGAGCAGGGG